ensembl:snoRNA LOC120100441 small nucleolar RNA SNORA17
GAUGCUCCCUGCCUUGCAGAGGCGGCUGCUGUGUCACACGUGUGUCAGUAGGUGGCAGAGAGGAGAGAGGCGAUGUUUAUGUUCAGUGUUCUGAGCACAUGAACAUCUGAAUGAUUCAUUAGCAGCCUAACAUC